AGGUGUCAUCAUACCAGCGCUAAUGCACCGGAUCCCAUAAGAACUCCGGAGUUAAGCGUGCUUGGGCGAGAGUAGUACUAGGAUGGGUGACCUCCUGGGAAGUCCUUGUUUUGCACCUC
rfam:Vigna angularis cultivar Jingnong 6 scaffold866_5, whole genome shotgun sequence.